UACGUAGGGGCCAAGCGUUGUCCGGAUUUAUUGGGCGUAAAGAGCUCAUAGGCGGUUUGUCGCGUCUGCUGUGAAAACUCGGGGCUUAACUCCGGGCCUGCAGUGGGUACGGGCAGACUAGAGGUAGGUAGGGGAGAAUGGAAUUCCCGGUGUAGCGGUGAAAUGCGCAGAUAUCGGGAGGAACACCGGUGGCGAAGGCGGUUCUCUGGGCCUUACCUGACGCUGAGGAGCGAAAGCGUGGGGAGCGAACAGG
rnacentral:rRNA from 1 species